rnacentral:tRNA from 1 species
CGGGACGUGGCGCAGCCUGGUAAGCGUGCCUGCCUUGGGAGCAGGAGGUCGGCGGUUCAAAUCCGCCCGUCCCGACCA